AGGACCUACCAGUCUGCCCUGCUCAUCCUUGAUCGGGAUGAGACUGAUACCCUGCGAGACGCAACAGAAUCAGCUCCUGGGAUUGUGUUAGCAGAAUGACGGGAGUGUGAGAUCCACCACAUGGCGAGGCACCCCAGGAACCUGUUUUCUUCUUGAAGAGCAACCGAGAACUAUUUCCAAGUUAUCCUUCACUUUGAGCCAGGCAAUGGUCAGGUGGAGUAAAACAUAAGGAAGAGCAUGUUUUUGGUUCAAAGGAUGAAAAAAACUGGGACAACAUGGAGGUGUCUGAUUUCUGCUUGGGCUGAGGAUUCAGGAGAAGAUGUGUGGAACACAGCCUGGACACGCCCCAACCUGGUUGAUGAAUUCCACCCGAAGUAGUGGAAGAAACACACCUAGAACAUGAGCAGAGAAGAUUUUUCUUCUGUACUUUCCAGGACUUGAAGCUGCUUUGUUUUUUGGUUGCUGGAUGGGGAAGGAGGAACAAUAGUAUAGCUUCCAGAAGAGAGAAGAGAGUUAUCUCUUGAGUGUGAAUUAAGCAGUACCAAGAGGCCUCAAGCUAGCUCUCUCUCCUGCUUGAAAUUCUACUGUUAAGAGUUUUCCUUUAAGUUUAAAACCUUGAAAGCUCCAUGAUGCUCCUGAGUAGAACAAUAAAGCCAUUAGUAGUCAA